rnacentral:lncRNA from 1 species
AUGAUUAUUUGGAUACUUAUAAAACAUACACAUAAAGGAGAACUAAUUAAGGUGGGUUACCCAAUAACACGUGUCACAACUUUAUAACAUAGAGUUAUCCUAAUCAAAGUGUUUUGCAGCGGAAAACGUGUGAGAUAUACAUAUGAAGAUGUAUACUCAAGGUUACAUUUCUUGAAAUGUCAAAGGAACACCCGCUCAACACCAUUCCAUUCCAUCAGCUGCUCAACCUGCACAUUUAGAAAUACAUGCAGGGCUGAGUAUAAAAAUACUCAGUGGACAAAUGCCCAAAAUACAUUCAUGCAUACAUAUAUAAAUUGAACUGCCAUAAUAGUAACACACAGGGGUUUUUCUUAAAUGACCCGCGCUUACUAAAACAUUUCUUUCAUUUUCAUAAGAUUGGCCGGCCGACCCAUUUUCCUUCAUAUGAUCCAUAUCUGUUCCUUUCUGUCACGCGCCGGGAAGGAGGCCUCCUUACCACGGACGCCAAGACCGGUCGCAAGCGACUCGCGGUCUCCAUGAGUGUACACGUUAACCCUAGCUAGCGACCUUUGUCUAGCAUAGGAUCCCAAUUGGAUUUCCUUUAAAGUUGGCGAACCAACACAGAUAGGAUACAUACGUAAAACAUAAACAUUUUUGGCAGUCAAUCAUUUCAUAAACAUUUCAUUUUCAUUUCAUAAGAGUCAUUUAUCAUUUGGGCAUAAUAAUAAACUGAAAUUAACAGUUAAAAUCAUCUCAUGCAUAUAUUCGUAUAGGAGGCCUACGACACGCAGGGGAUCUCUAUAUACGUAUAGUAAAAGUAAUGCCCACCUGGAUAGGCAAAGCCUGAAGAUCAUACACAUAUAAACCUGUCUUGGAAAAGUAGCGCUAAUCCUCCUGGUCAUCACAAAGCCUACAAGAAAUUCUAUUCUUAAUAGGUCUCGUGAAGCUAACUUAAUAUCUUGGGGAAAAAUGCUUAACAUUCUAUGAUUCAUCACGCCGGGUUUCAAAAUUUAAUGAAUAAAUAAUUGAAAACAUUUCUCUUGAGUUAAGAACACCAACAAUAUUCUUACUCGUCUUUCUUUAAUAAUGGAAUUAUAAUUAACCAAUUAAAUCAUGAUGCAAUGCAUGACUCAUUUCAUACUUAAACAUAUAAUAAGUAUUUACUUAAAAUAUGCACAUAAUAAUAAGUUAAAUAUUAUUAUGCAAAUUAAAAUAAUUAAUCAAACUUAAUAAGUCUAAUUAAUAAAUAUUGGGUAGCCCAUUUAAAAUAAUAAUGCAGUCCAUCAAAUGAAAAAUCUGCACAAUCCAAGUAAUAAGGCCCAGCUGUUUUAAUUAAAUAAACUGAGCCCAAGUUACAAAAUAAAAAUCAGCCCAACCAGUUAAAAAAAAAUUCGGCCCAACAGCCCAACACUCAAACCCUAUACCCCUUCUUUCUCCCUUUUCUCGUCUCUCUGCCUCACAACGCACACACACAUACCAGCUGCGCAGCAGCACCCCUCUUCCUCCUUCUCUCUUCCGGCGGACGACGGCAGCCACCGCCGGACACGCCGUCGCCCCUUAACUCUCCUCUCCCUCAACUGCUCCUCUCUCCCUCGACUGCUCCAUCGUGCCCGGCGACGAGCGCCGCCCGGAACACUUCUCCCUCGACUCCUGUCACUCCCGCCGCCUCCCUCUCAAAAUCGACGGCCGCAGCAGCCGACAAGGCCUACCGCCGCCGCCUGACGUCCCUCGAAACAGACCAGCGAACAGCAGCAGUUAGUUGCAGCCAUCCCCUCAUCUCCCCUCGUUUCUCCUCUCCCCUUCUCCGGACAGAACGACGGUGGAGCCGCCGCCGCCGAACCCUAGGCUCCCAAAUCCGGUCUCCACUCGCUCCAAUUCUCGGCGACCAUAGCAAUAGCCAUGGCUGCCGCUGAUGACAAACGCUACAAGCCACCUGGAACCAAAGGUUCCCAAUUCCGACCUUCCCUUUCUAAAAUCCGACGACGACGGUCAGCAGCUUCACGCCACCACCGCCGUGCCCUAGCUACUGCCUCCAUCUUCCCUUUGUUCGGUCCGACAACAGCUAAUAGCCACCGCCGUUGCCGCCCUGACUCCCGACUCUCACAUCCCUUCCUCGACAGACACUCUCCAAGCAGAGAUACCCCACGAGUUCUAUUCUUGUUUUAGUUAUCAGUAUUUUCAUUUCAUGCACAUAUCUUAUGUUCUUAUGGAGCAGUGAUUGGUACACAAAUAAACAAAACAUAGGCAACAAAACUAUCAGUUCUUAUAUCUCAUUAUCUGUAUUCUCAUUGUAUGAAACAUUUACAUCUCGUUGUCUUUAUUGUUAUGUAAACUCAGUUAUAGAUGGACAUAUGAACAAACAUAAAGCUGUAUAUGUGUGUGUUUACUGCUAUGAAUUGAAGAAAAACCUUGAUAGGAAAGGCUGAGCUUUUUCUUGAUGUUAUGCCUGAGUGUUCUACUAGUUUGAGGAAGGGCUUUGAGUUGAGCCGUUGAAAUCUGAAAUGGUUCGAUUGCUUGAUUUGUGAGGAGAAUGAAUUGCUUUCUGUCUCAACUUGGCACAGCAAAUAAUUUGUAUGAAUUGAGUAAAGGAGAGCUUGGAUAUGGUAUACUUAUGGAUGCAGAGGAGUUAUGGAGCACUUGAUUGCCUAUGUUCAUAGGUGUAUGGCUUAAAGUUUAAUUGGGGUUGCUUUAAAGUGGUGGUAGUAGGUGACAGCUUAUUUUGAGGGAGGUAGGUGGUGUAUGUUAGGUGAGGGAGUAGGUGGGAGUAGUUGGUGGUUGUAGGAGAGUAUGGUCAAAAGUGGCUGGUGAAAAGACAUUGAGUGUGAGUGAGUUGAAUCAUUGAUUGGACAAUUAAAAUUUGUCAGGGUUGAAUUAUCGGGACUGUAAAAAUCUUUCAAGGUUCGGUAAAUAAAUGGCUCAUGUAAAUAAAACUAUAUGAAAUGCAUAUGAAUUUAAAUAACUCAAUGAAAUUAAAUAACUCAAAUUUUCAAAACUUUUGAAAAUCAUUUUUGUUGGAAUUAAAAUAAAUUGUUUUUUAUUUAUUUGGCGUGAAUCAAUCUAAUUCUAAGUUCAAAAUAAUUCUAAAUUUAGCUAAGAAAUAACGGGGUGUGACAUCCCUCCCUCCUUAUAAAAAUUUCGUCCUCGAAAUUGCAUACUUGGGAAAUCUAGUUUGGAGUACUAGACAUUCACUAUCAGUGCACCUACAUAGCUUGAUGCUUAUCACAUUUUCUAAUCGUGAGAAUGCUACGUCUCAUGUCUCGAGAACUGUUGAGAAACGAACUCAUUCUAAUCAUACUAUGCUUGUCGUGAUCAAAGAAGAUCUUAUUGGGACAACUAUAUAGUACGAGUUUAUACUUUGGGAUGACUAAAUUGACAAUCACCGAGAUCAUAGUCAUGUGGGCUGGCCAGACCCAGCACAACGAAUCACUCAGUCAAAUGGGAGCUUCGCCCCCAAUCAUGUCAACUUCUUAUCUCUUAUAAAGCUCUAAGUCAACUUCUAACUUAAAGCACUUACUUCUAAGUACUUCAAUCAUAAAUCUUUGGUAUUAUAUAGGUCCAUUCUAUGUCGUUCUAGCGGUGCUAUCACGACUAACAUUCGUAAGGCAUUAUUGGGUGGUUCUCAAACGAUUUGUAAAAGAACUCAUCAUUCUAAUCAUAUAGGUAGUGAACCUAAAAUGAUAACAUAAAGCUUUCUCAUCAUUCAUUCAUACAUAUAUUUGCUUUCUUUGAAAUUUUGAGUCAUAUGGACAUUAAAUGUCCCUUUCAUGAAAAACUUUGCUUAUGCCGGAAAGAUUCAAGGAAUCUAACUCGACCAUACAUACAUACAUACAUUGAUUCGUUAAGGGCUCGGGUUGUCCCAAACACGAAAUACAUUCAUUGAGUCGUUAUGGGUUCGGGUAGUCCCAAACACGACAAAAAAAAUCAUUCACAUAGCAUCAUAAACGUAAAGGCGCACAUUUUCUUUUUCUUGGAAACAUUCAUAACAUCUAAAAUACAUAUAUGUAUAUUUUUGAAACUAUUAUCGUACCUUUGUUGCGGCAGUGUGAUGGCGAGCUGAGGGCUACUGACAUUCUUAGAAGUCUAGAGAUACUAUUCUAGACUCGACAUCAAAAGCUUAUGGUUAUCAGAGUCAUGAAAGAAAACUUAUGCUCUGUCUCAUAUUCUAUCUCCUUACUCAACUCUAUAUAAACUCUCCACCCAUCUCAAAUCCUUAAGUUCAAGGAUAGGUUUCAAGAAAAUCAUGGUUCUAAGUCUCGAUUUAUCUCUCAUAUAAGGCUCGUCUAAUCUCAUUCAAACACAUAGACAACACAAUCACAUAAUGCACAUAAGAAUCACAAUCAAACAUCAUUAAAACAUGCUCUGUUUUUACACUGAUUCAACUUCAAAAUUUAAUCUGUUCUGACUCCGACAUCUCCUGGACUCGAGACUCAUACUGGAAGAAAGAUCUUCAAGUCUAGUUUCAUAUAAAAAAAAACGUAGAGUCGAAAACUCCAAGCGGUUUGAAGAUAUGACGUUUUUACCACGAUCUACCAUAUUCGGCAGUUUUGAGCAAUCGAAAACUUGGAUUUUUGAAAAAUAGUAAACGUUGUCAAACUGGGCUCAAAUUUGGUGGAUAUCUAGCUAACACAAUAAGGUUAAUACCAUAAAAAUUUGGAAAGCUAAUCACACAGGAAGCUACUGAAAUGAAUGACUCUUCCCUGUUCUCUAAAAUUCUCGGUAGUAAUGUGCAGUUUAGGUUUUGCAUUUGAAAGAAAUAUCAAACGAAGUCGGAAAGGCUUGAAAUUUUACCAGGGUACUCAAGAUUCAUGUCGGGACUUGCUAUAAAAUUUUCAAAGCUAUUAAACAUCGACAAACCGUCGAUCACACUAGGUCAAUAGGCCUACGAAAUUUCACCAAAAUCUCAUCUCGAACUCUUUAAAUGUUCAAGAUUAUAUACUUAACUGAUUUCACACAAUUAACACAUAGAUUUAUUAAUAACCCUAGUUUUUAUUAAACUAAAUCUUUUGAAAAUAUCACUAAUCAUGUAUAACCUAUUGAUCAAAUCAUAGAUCUAACAUCCUAGGUUACCAAUUAGCACAAAUCAACACCAUAAAACAAGAUCACAUAUAAUAAACAUAUAUGUCAUCUUCUUCCUCAAACUAACACUUUUCAUUUUUUUACUUCUCAACCUCUAGCUUCAAUCUCAUCCAUCAUUAAUUAUCUAGAUCAUCUCAUAAACUCAAAUCCAUCAUCAAUCAUCAUAUAACUCAAGCCAAUUUAAGAAAAUAAACAACAAAAUUUCGUAGGGUCUCAAGCCCCAAAUUUUCGAAAGUUAAGAAAAACAAGGAGGUGAAGUUUUCAUGCUUCAAUCAUCCAUCUACACACAUAUAUCUCAAUAUAGAGUCUAGAUCCAUAAGAUUAGAACACUUACUCAAGUAAAUCAAAGAGAAAAAUAAAAUCUUCUUUCCAACCUUCAAGCUUGUAUCUCCACUAAUCUUCUAGGUUUUACCAAGGAAAUAGAGGUGUUUAGAUCAAUAUCUUUGGAAGACUUGGGUGUAGAGAUGAUCUAAAAAAAAAGCUUGGUGUUCUUCGAUCAUGGAGGAUUAAUGGAGGAAAGGAAGAUUAGAGAGAGAAAAGGGUGAGGCCGUGAGUUAGGGAAGAAGUGAGAAUAAAGAGAAAGUGUUUUGUUUAAAAUCCUCCACUUGCUUCCAAACUUAGCCAACAAGUAAAUGCUCAAGCUUACCCACUAAGCCUCUUGAUUAAAACACACAUGUCUAAUUGAUUAUAAUAAUCAAGUGAGAGUGUAGUAUUGUGUGGUGGAAAAUAAACCAUGUGCUAAGCCACAAGAAUUAAAUCAUGGAAAACUAGUCACAAUUAAUGAAAUGUCAUAGCAUAAUUAUUCAUGUGACCAAAUUAAAAUAAAUAUAGCACUAAUAUUAGUGCACUCACUCAAUUAUAAUAUUCCUCAUCAUAGGAAAAAUAAUUUGAAAAUAUUUUGUUUGGAAAAAAAUUCCAAACCGGCAUUCUUUGAUUUUCGGUAAAAAUAAACUCACUUGCUUUGGAAACUUAAUUAAAAUUCAAGUGCUAUAAUCCUCAAAAAAAAUCAUAAUACUUGCUCAUAUAAAUACACUUAACUCACCAUUAAAACUUAUGCACCGCAUUUAUAAAAAUUUCUUUAACUAAGCACAUUAAAACACAUAUAUAAUGAUUAAAUCACAUCAGAUAAAUCAAACCAGUUUUAUUAUUAAUGGAUGCCGAACCCUAAUUAUUAAUAAUUAAAACCUUAAUCAGGGAUUAAAAGUCGGGGUAUGACAUACUAUCCCCCUUAAAAGAAAUUUCGUCCCGAAAUUUGUACCUCAGGAAAUAAUUCUGGGUACUCAUUCAUGCUAGACUCGGGUUCCCACGUCGCCUUUCCUGCUAAAUUCCCUUGGUUGUUUCCUUGCUUAUUCUUGUGCAGGGCAUAAGCUCUUGCUUGUGGGAUAUGCGGUGGACGUGCCGCAGGUCGAUACUGCUGUGGUGGUGGGUAGAGUAGCUGUUGGCCUUGGAUAGCCCUAAGUGGUGUGCUUGGCCCGACUGAUUUGGCCCUCUCAUUCCUCCUUGUAGUUUUUCUUGGCAGUCUCUGGCAAAAUGGCCCUUCUGACACACUUAAACAGUGUUGCUGCCAGCCAAGCAUACGCCGUGAUGCGACUUGGAGCAUUUUGGGCACAGAGGUGCCCUGAGCUGGCCCCGAUUGUUUCCAGCUGGUCCUGGGUUAGCUGGUCGUUCUUGCCAUUGCCCUUGUGGCAUCAUGUUCCCUUGCCAUGGCCUCUUGUUGUCUUGGUCGUUGUAAUAAUCUCUGUUAUUGUUGUUGUUGCCUUCCCACUUUCUCUUUCCACGAUCAUUGUUCCCCGGAGCUUGAGUCUGGUUUGGGCGGUCUUCAGGCAUGGCCGCUUCAACAUCCAGGGCUCUGCUAAGUGCCUCAGAGUGGGUGAGAUUACCAUGACUAGCAAGUGCCAUCUUGAUCUCGUGCCUAAGGCCUGAACGAAACUUCUCGGCCAUCUUUUCAUCAGUAUCGAUUAGAUGAGGGGCAUAGCGAGACAUGUCGCAGAAAGCGCGAUCGUAUUCCGUCACGGACAUCUUAUUUUGUUUCAGAUUGAAAAAACUCUGUCUCUUUCUUCUUUCUGUAACUCUUGGGGAUGUAUUUAUCGUAGAUCUCCGUCUUGAAGUCUUCCCAAGUCAGGUUUUCCAAUUGUUCAGGGGUCAUUGCCCUCUUCUUGGUUUCCCACCAAAAAUCUGCCGACCCAGUUAGUUGGAAUGCAACACAAGAGAGUCGCUCUUGAUUAGUACAGUGAAGAAAGUCGAAAAUCCUUUCCAUCGCUCUAAUCCAGAUUUCGGCAUCAGUCGGAUUGCCGGUCCCGUUGAAUGUUGGCGGGCUCUGUUUAAGAAAAAGUUCUUCAACCCUUCGUGGGGGUUCAUUUGCUGCGCCCAUGUUGUUUCUUGGGGCUCUUCUGGGAGGCAUCCUGUGCUUCAAAGACAAAGACGAUCAUCGGUAAUUUCUGAUGCGUAGUACAACGGUAACGAGAAUAAUCUAUAAGGGUCAUACUAGUCAACUACACAAAGCUACAGUUUGGGUGAUAUACUAGGUCAGUAUACUAAUACUUCUUAGUUUUAUCAAUCAAGGGGAUCUAUUAUGACAACUCACGAGUUGCAAGGCUCAAACUCAACACAACAUCAAAGCAAGGUGUUGUAGAAAUGUUCAAGAGAAUCAAAAGAAUGACCAGAGGGUAUGAAAUGAUUAACUACUAGGUCGAACAAAAUGACCUCGAGUAUGAACCCAUCUGGCUUUUCAACCGAAAGUUGAAACACAUGGGUUUUCAACCCAAAAGACGUCUACUGAGAUUUGGAUCAUGUGGACUGGCCAGGUCCAACAUCAUCACCUCCCAGUCACACGGGAAACAUCGUCCCGAACUUGAAGAGCCAUGAACAUACUAUACAUAACAAAACAUAAGUUCAUUAUGACAACUAAACUUAUCUUAAGGUUCCCUAUCCUAUUGAUCUCAAACCCCAAACCUCUCUUAAGACAUAUACACACAGACAUACGUACACAGGCAAAACACACUAUUCUUAAAAUCUAUCCUGUAGCAAAAGUCGAUUUGAUAUUCCGUCGCACUUGAACAUUUGAACGUAGAGACUAUGGUUCAACCUUUGAUGCAACGUUUACCUUGAAUUCGUCGCGUAUCGUCAUUCUGUGCUUUUCCUUUACCUCGUACAUAUCUUUUCAUUCCUCUUUGUAGUUCAAAAGAAUCAUUGUUUUCUUGAGGGAGCUGAAAUGCUCUAAGUUCUCUUUCAUUCUUCUACAUCAUCACCUUAAGAAUCUAGAUUGUAGAGAUAUCCUACUAAUCUAGUAGUCUAUGUUCUUUUGAAAUUGUGAUCAUGCAUCUUAUAGCAAUCUAUGUUCUCUGGGAAAACAUAUGUCACUUUUCUAUCAUUCAUCUGAUCAUAACAUCAUAGAUUGCGAAAAUAUGCCAUGAAAGGCAAAACAUUCAACAUUUCAUCAUAACCUGCUCUUCACAUAAACAUAUUCAUGAAGCAUUUUAGAACAUUAACAUCUUUAAAACGUUGAAACUGCAGUUACCUUCUUUCCUUGAUUGAGCACGAUGCAAUGGAGUGUUGAGCGGUGCCAUAUGAACCCAUGUAAGUAUAAAGAAUCAAACUAAACUCGACUCUUUAGAAUAAGGUUUCUAGGGCCAGAGCGAACGAACCGCUCUGAUACCACUCUGUCACAGCCCACUAUCCCAAUGACGGGUUAACCGGGGUUAUGACUUGGGGUGAACAAUAAGAAAUGG